AGCCCCAAUUCCUGAUGUGUGCUUUUCCCCUCGUUUCCUGAUUUCAUUUCUGUUGCAUGCUGGCCAUGUUGUCUUAACAUUUGAUUGAUGAGAGUCGUGUUCUAAAAGAUUCAAUGUCCCCUGAAGCUUUCCUUCCAAAUUAGUUCUGCUCCAGGUAAGAUUUUUCAAGCGCUCUUUGCUGGACUUUCCAAACAAAGCUGUCUUGCAUCUAUCAGAGCAGAAUUCUUACUUCAGUUUCUUUUAGGAAAGGUAGAAUGGGGCUCAGUAUCACACAGAAGUGUUAAGACUCAGCUACUGAAGUGUCAUGGGAACACUGUACACACCAAGGAUGCCUUAGGCUACUCCCAAAGUGAUACCAUAUCAUUAAGUACAAAGCUCCCUCAUUUUAAUCCCCCUGCUGCAUUUGGAAACACAAAUAAAAUUUUACCUUUUCUCUUUGUCUUGGCUUAUCUUCGCAUUAUUCCGGAGUUUUAAACUCAUUCAGAUUAUUUUAGUGUAUUUUGAAAGACCAUACAUUCUGUAACUUCUACUACUCAAACUCUUCCCAAAGAGUUUUAAAACUUUGAUAAGAGUGAACUAUGGACACGUCCCCAGCAUCUUCUUAGUGUACUCCAGAAGCUGACCACUUAAGACCCGUUUAAAUUGAAUUCUUGUUCUAAAUUAUUGGAUUCUGGGUCAUGAGAAAUUGAUUAAGGGCUGUCUAUGAGGGUCAGCUGAAACAGUCAUUAAUAAAAAGUGUGUUCUACCAAGAUUCAGACAGAGAAAAACAGUAAGACUGAAAUGUGAGGGGGCUGGAGAGAUGGCUCAGAGGCUGGGUAGGAGGGGCACUAGCUGCUCUUCCAGAGGACCUCUGAAGCACCCACAGGCUCAUGGCGUGUCUGACAACUGUCAGUUCUAAGGGACCUGAGACCUCAUCUGAGUUCCACAGGCCAGGCACACAUGUGGUGCACAUACAUACUUGCAAGCCUUUAUACACAUAAAAAUAAAUCUUAAAAUCAGAUU
rnacentral:lncRNA from 1 species